rnacentral:rRNA from 1 species
GGGUUGUGAGGUUAAGCGACUAAGCGUACACGGUGGAUGCCCUGGCAGUCAGAGGCGAUGAAGGACGUGCUAAUCUGCGAAAAGCGUCGGUAAGGUGAUAUGAACCGUUAUAACCGGCGAUGUCCGAAUGGGGAAACCCAGUGCAAUUCGUUGCACUAUCGUUAACUGAAUACAUAGGUUAACGAGGCGAACCGGGGGAACUGAAACAUCUAAGUACCCCGAGGAAAAGAAAUCAACCGAGAUUCCCCCAGUAGCGGCGAGCGAACGGGGAGCAGCCCAGAGUCUGAAUCAGCUUGUGUGUUAGUGGAACGGUCUGGAAAGUCCGACGGUACAGGGUGAUAGUCCCGUACACCAAAAUGCACAGGUUGUGAACUCGAAGAGUAGGGCGGGACACGUGGUAUCCUGUCUGAAUAUGGGGGGACCAUCCUCCAAGGCUAAAUACUCCUGACUGACCGAUAGUGAACCAGUACCGUGAGGGAAAGGCGAAAAGAACCCCGGCGAGGGGAGUGAAAAAGAACCUGAAACCGUGUACGUACAAGCAGUGGGAGCACCUUCGGGUGUGACUGCGUACCUUUUGUAUAAUGGGUCAGCGACUUAUAUUCUGUAGCAAGGUUAACCGUAUAGGGGAGCCGCAGGGAAACCGAGUCUUAACUGGGCGUUAAGUUGCAGGGUAUAGACCCGAAACCCGGUGAUCUAGCCAUGGGCAGGUUGAAGGUUGGGUAACACUAACUGGAGGACCGAACCGACUAAUGUUGAAAAAUUAGCGGAUGACUUGUGGCUGGGGGUGAAAGGCCAAUCAAACCGGGAGAUAGCUGGUUCUCCCCGAAAGCUAUUUAGGUAGCGCCUCGUGAACUCAUCUUCGGGGGUAGAGCACUGUUUCGGCUAGGGGGUCAUCCCGACUUACCAACCCGAUGCAAACUACGAAUACCGAAGAAUGUUAUCACGGGAGACACACGGCGGGUGCUAACGUCCGUCGUGAAGAGGGAAACAACCCAGACCGCCAGCUAAGGUCCCAAAGUCAUGGUUAAGUGGGAAACGAUGUGGGAAGGCACAGACAGCCAGGAUGUUGGCUUAGAAGCAGCCAUCAUUUAAAGAAAGCGUAAUAGCUCACUGGUCGAGUCGGCCUGCGCGGAAGAUGUAACGGGGCUAAACCAUGCACCGAAGCUGCGGCAGCGACACGAUGUGUUGUUGGGUAGGGGAGCGUUCUGUAAGCCUGCGAAGGUGACCUGUGAGGGUUGCUGGAGGUAUCAGAAGUGCGAAUGCUGACAUAAGUAACGAUAAAGCGGGUGAAAAGCCCGCUCGCCGGAAGACCAAGGGUUCCUGUCCAACGUUAAUCGGGGCAGGGUGAGUCGACCCCUAAGGCGAGGCCGAAAGGCGUAGUCGAUGGGAAACAGGUUAAUAUUCCUGUACUUGGUGUUACUGCGAAGGGGGGACGGAGAAGGCUAUGUUAGCCGGGCGACGGUUGUCCCGGUUUAAGCAUGUAGGCUGGUUAUCCAGGCAAAUCCGGAUAAUCAAGGCUGAGGUGUGAUGACGAGGCACUACGGUGCUGAAGUAACAAAUGCCCUGCUUCCAGGAAAAGCCUCUAAGCAUCAGGUAACACGAAAUCGUACCCCAAACCGACACAGGUGGUCAGGUAGAGAAUACCAAGGCGCUUGAGAGAACUCGGGUGAAGGAACUAGGCAAAAUGGUGCCGUAACUUCGGGAGAAGGCACGCUGGUGUGUAGGUGAAGCCCCUGCGGGUGGAGCUGAGACCAGUCGAAGAUACCAGCUGGCUGCAACUGUUUAUUAAAAACACAGCACUGUGCAAACACGAAAGUGGACGUAUACGGUGUGACGCCUGCCCGGUGCCGGAAGGUUAAUUGAUGGGGUUAUCCGUAAGGAGAAGCUCUUGAUCGAAGCCCCGGUAAACGGCGGCCGUAACUAUAACGGUCCUAAGGUAGCGAAAUUCCUUGUCGGGUAAGUUCCGACCUGCACGAAUGGCGUAAUGAUGGCCAGGCUGUCUCCACCCGAGACUCAGUGAAAUUGAACUCGCUGUGAAGAUGCAGUGUACCCGCGGCAAGACGGAAAGACCCCGUGAACCUUUACUAUAGCUUGACACUGAACAUUGAGCCUUGAUGUGUAGGAUAGGUGGGAGGCUUUGAAGCGUGGACGCCAGUCUGCGUGGAGCCAACCUUGAAAUACCACCCUUUAAUGUUUGAUGUUCUAACGUUGGCCCCUAAUCGGGGUUGCGGACAGUGUCUGGUGGGUAGUUUGACUGGGGCGGUCUCCUCCCAAAGCGUAACGGAGGAGCACGAAGGUUAGCUAAUCCUGGUCGGACAUCAGGAGGUUAGUGCAAUGGCAUAAGCUAGCUUGACUGCGAGCGUGACGGCGCGAGCAGGUGCGAAAGCAGGUCAUAGUGAUCCGGUGGUUCUGAAUGGAAGGGCCAUCGCUCAACGGAUAAAAGGUACUCCGGGGAUAACAGGCUGAUACCGCCCAAGAGUUCAUAUCGACGGCGGUGUUUGGCACCUCGAUGUCGGCUCAUCACAUCCUGGGGCUGAAGUAGGUCCCAAGGGUAUGGCUGUUCGCCAUUUAAAGUGGUACGCGAGCUGGGUUUAGAACGUCGUGAGACAGUUCGGUCCCUAUCUGCCGUGGGCGCUGGAGAAUUGAGGGGGGCUGCUCCUAGUACGAGAGGACCGGAGUGGACGCAUCACUGGUGUUCGGGUUGUCAUGCCAAUGGCACUGCCCGGUAGCUAAAUGCGGAAGAGAUAAGUGCUGAAAGCAUCUAAGCACGAAACUUGCCCCGAGAUGAGUUCUCCCUGAGACUUUAAGUCUCCUGAAGGAACGUUGAAGACGACGACGUUGAUAGGCCGGGUGUGUAAGCGCAGCGAUGCGUUGAGCUAACCGGUACUAAUGAACCGUGAGGCUUAACCUUACAACGCCGAAG